rnacentral:piRNA from 1 species
UGGGAAGAUUUGCAUUAGUUGGGCCUUUGU